AGCAGAGCCGCGAGGAAGAGCAAAUCCCAAAAAUAACGUCUCAGUUCGGAUUGUAGUCUGCAACUCGACUACAUGAAGCUGGAAUCGCUAGUAAUCGCGGAUCAGAAUGCCGCGGUGAAUACGUUCCCGGGUCUUGUACACACCGCCCGUCACACCAUGGGAGUUGGGAAUGCCCGAAGUCAGUGACCUAACCGAAAGGAGGGAGCUGCCGAAGGCAGGCCUGAUAACUGGGGUGAAGUCGUAACAAGGUAGC
rnacentral:rRNA from 1 species